CUGAGCUAGGCGUGGGUAUUUCCCCAAUGGGGGAAAACCUUUGCCCCGCCCCGCGUGAGAGAACCGCUCUCGGGUGUGAAACCUCUUUCCACGGGGAAAGAGGAAAAGGCGGUUCCUCCAAAGAAACCCCGGUUAAUUCGGCCAACACCCCGGUAUAUCUUAGGGCCAAACUUUUCCGAAUUUUGGCGUAAAGAGUCUUAGCGGCUUUUCCCUCGGUUUGAAACCCGGGGUUAACCCCGGUUUGCAUCGAUCCGGCAGCUAGAUUCGUAGGGAAAUCGAAUCCUGGGUAGCGUGAAAUCGCAGAAUCAGGAGGACCCCGUGGCGAAGCGGAUCUUUGGCCGAUACUGACGCUGAGGAGCGAAAGCGUGGGAGCGAACAGGAUUAGAUACCCUGGUAGUCCACGCCGUAAACGGUGGGCACUAGGUGUGGGCAACAUUCCACGUUGUCCGUGCCGCAGCUAACGCAUUAAGUGCCCCGCCUGGGGAGUACGGCCGCAAGGCUAAAACUCAAAGGAAUUGACGGGGGCCCGCACAAGCGGCGGAGCAUGUGGCUUAAUUCGACGCAACGCGAAGAACCUUACCAAGGCUUGACAUACACCGGAAACGUCUGGAGACAGGCGCCCCCUUGUGGUCGGUGUACAGGUGGUGCAUGGCUGUCGUCAGCUCGUGUCGUGAGAUGUUGGGUUAAGUCCCGCAACGAGCGCAACCCUUGUCCCGUGUUGCCAGCAGGCCCUUGUGGUGCUGGGGACUCACGGGAGACCGCCGGGGUCAACUCGGAGGAAGGUGGGGACGACGUCAAGUCAUCAUGCCCCUUAUGUCUUGGGCUGCACACGUGCUACAAUGGCCGGUACAAUGAGCUGCGAUACCGCGAGGUGGAGCGAAUCUCAAAAAGCCGGUCUCAGUUCGGAUUGGGGUCUGCAACUCGACCCCAUGAAGUCGGAGUCGCUAGUAAUCGCAGAUCAGCAUUGCUGCGGUGAAUACGUUCCCGGGCCUUGUACACCCCGCCCGUCACGUCACGAAAGUCGGUAACACCCGAAGCCGGUGGCCCAACCCCUUGUGGGAGGGAGCUGUCGAAGUGUGGGACUGGCGAUUGGACGAAGUCUGACGGGGUGAAGCCAACUGG
rnacentral:rRNA from 1 species